GAUGAACGCUGGCGGCGUGCUUAACACAUGCAAGUCGAACGGGAAACCUUUUAUUGAAGCUUCGGCAGAUUUAGCUGGUUUCUAGUGGCGGACGGGUGAGUAACGCGUGGGUACCCUGCCUUAUACAGGGGGAUAACAACCAGAAAUGGUUGCUAAUACCGCAUAAGCGCACAGGACCGCAUGGUCCGGUGUGAAAAACUCCGGUGGUAUAAGAUGGACCCGCGUUGGAUUAGCUAGUUGGCAGGGUAACGGCCUACCAAGGCGACGAUCCAUAGCCGGCCUGAGAGGGUGAACGGCCACAUUGGGACUGAGACACGGCCCAGACUCCUACGGGAGGCAGCAGUGGGGAAUAUUGCACAAUGGGGGAAACCCUGAUGCAGCGACGCCGCGUGAAGGAAGAAGUAUCUCGGUAUGUAAACUUCUAUCAGCAGGGAAGAUAGUGACGGUACCUGACUAAGAAGCCCCGGCUAACUACGUG
rnacentral:rRNA from 1 species